AUGGCCACGGUUGCGAAGACCAGGCCCGUGCCUACGCGCUGGAGCGAGGUGAGCCCCUGCGGGCGGCCGGUGAGGCGGCCGGCGAGCGGCACGAGGAGGCGCUCGUUGAGGGACGUGAAGAGGAGGAUGGAGAGGAAGAGGAAGACGGAGAGGGAGCCGGCGGGGAUUUCGAAGCCGGCAUUGAGGCGACGGUCCAUGCGGGUGGCUUGCUCCACGGAGAAUGUGGUCAUCUGGGAGUAUAUUGUCCAGAAGAGGAUGCAGGUGGACCAGAUAGGCAACAAGUUCAACACCAUCUUCACCUCCUCCACUUCCGUCAUUGUUGAGGCUGACGCCUGCUCCUGCUUGGUCGGACUUGCGGCCAGGUCGACUGGUUCCAUGACUGCGGCUUUGUCUAGGCACCUGCAUUGGGAUCACAAAAGUUAA
rnacentral:rRNA from 1 species